GUAGAGGCUCAUUAGAGAAAAUGAUUACACCUGUGUCACCCAGUCUCUGGUUGCCCAGCCAAGUUCUGGAUGGUGGGUGUUUCUCUCAAACCUUAUGUGGAUUCUGGGUAAAGAUAGUUUUAGCACAGUAGAGUGAGGCUGACCAUGGCCUAGUUAGCUAGCAUUGGGAGUUUGAAGUUCUUGGCUGCUCCUCAGUGUGAGGAAGGGUCUCUCUGUGACUGGAGCAGCUCAUGCUGCAUGAGCCAAACACUCAGACAAGAGCCUCAGGGAGAAUAAUAACUCCUGGUUACAGUGUGGCGGUGGAUCACUUUCCUCAGCACGCUCCCCUCUCCUGUCUCGUCCCACCCUGUCAACCUCUGGUAAAGGAUAGCAGGUUCCAGUCUCAGCUGUGGGCCAGAUCACUCAAGCUCUAAACACCGAGAGCCCAAACUGAGAGGUACACACGCCUGACAUGAUGGAGCAGCGCAAAGCUGGAGGUGAAGCAGCUGAGGAGAGAUCUCGAAAAACAAUCAAU